AUGUCAAGCCCGAAACAUUAGACGAAGAGCGUCUAAGGGCUGUGGUUCAACAUUUGGUGAAGUCGAAGGCGGUGUCCGCCGCGCAAAGUUAUUGUUGCCAAUGUGCUGAAGAAAAUAAGAAAGGAGAUACUAAAUCAAAUUAUGUCCCAGUCAUAAUGAUGCCUAUCUAUCCAGCCGACGAUUGUCCGUUUGAUAUGGAAUGUGAAGUUAAAAAAAUUAAGGAAGCCGAAGAUAAACCGACAAAAAAAUUGUAAAAGAGACCCAAGCCAAAGGUUCUGAAAAGGAGAAAAGACAAGAAAAAGCUGAAAAAACGAGGCUUUGUCAUGCAAAGACUUACUGAUUUCGAUUUAUUGUCACAAUGGUAGAUUACAGUCGCUUCAAAUAAAGCUCUGACGUACAAGCCUUAUUUGAUGAUAUGAGUGAUAGUGAAUGUUAUGUACAAAGUCAUAAACGAUUGUCAAGUUAAAACUGUUUUUAUAUUUGGUAACAUUGAAUAUUAGAGAUAAAUAUAAGGAUCACUUUGGUA